rnacentral:rRNA from 1 species
GCGGAGGAAAAGAAACCAACAGGGAUUGCCUCAGUAACGGCGAGUGAAGCGGCAACAGCUCAAAUUUGAAAUCUGACCCCUUCGGGGCUCGAGUUGUAAUUUGUAGAGGGUGUUUCGGGCGCGGCGCCGGUCUAAGUUCCUUGGAACAGGACGUCAUAGAGGGUGAGAAUCCCGUAUGCGACCGGCGAUCAAGCCCAUGUGAAGCCCCUUCGACGAGUCGAGUUGUUUGGGAAUGCAGCUCAAAAUGGGUGGUAAAUUCCAUCUAAAGCUAAAUAUUGGCCGGAGACCGAUAGCGGACAAGUAGAGUGAUCGAAAGAUGAAAAGCACUUUGGAAAGAGAGUCAAACAGUACGUGAAAUUGUUGAAAGGGAAGCGCUUGCCACCAGACCGGUCCGGGGGUGAUCAGCCGCUGCUCGUCAGCUGGUGCACUCGCCCUCGAUUCCGGCCAGCAUCGGUUUGGGCGGCGGGAGAAAAGCCCCGGGAAUGUAGCUUCUUUCGGGGAGUCUUAUAGCCCGGGGCGCAAUGCCGCCCGCCCGGACCGAGGACCGCGCUUCGGCUAGGAUGCUGGCGUAAUGGUUGCAAGCGACCCGUCUUGAAACACGGACCAAGGAGUCUAACAUCUAUGCGAGUGUUUGGGUGUCAAACCCAGGCGCGGAAUGAAAGUGAACGGAGGUGGGAGCCCGUCGCACGGCGCACCAUCGACCGAUCCAGAUGUCUUCGGAUGGAUUUGAGUAUGAGCAUAGCUGUUGGGACCCGAAAGAUGGUGAACUAUGCCCGGAUAGGGUGAAGCCAGAGGAAACUCUGGUGGAGGCUCGCAGCGGUUCUGACGUGCAAAUCGAUCGUCAAAUCUAGGCAUAGGGGCGAAAGACCA